UACGUAGGGUGCAAGCGUUUGUCCGGAAUCAUUGGGUUUAAAGGGUCCGUAGGCGGUUUAAUAAGUCAGUGGUGAAAGCCCAUCGCUCAACGGUGGAACGGCCAUUGAUACUGUUAAACUUGAAUUAUUAGGAAGUAACUAGAAUAUGUAGUGUAGCGGUGAAAUGCUUAGAGAUUACAUGGAAUACCAAUUGCGAAGGCAGGUUACUACUAAUGGAUUGACGCUGAUGGACGAAAGCGUGGGUAGCGAACAGG
rnacentral:rRNA from 1 species